rnacentral:lncRNA from 1 species
UUCUGGUUUUGAAGAGUACAACAGAACAAGUGGAUUUCUAGGACCAUCCAGCAUUAGCAAUUGCUGUGUAAUAGUUGCUAAUUAGUUAAUAGCUCCAAAAAGUCAUCAGGAAGAAAUAGCAACAAAACCCUUAGCUUUUGUAUUAAAUGUUCUACUACACCAAGAAAGGAUGCAGGCUUAGAGCAGAACUGGUCCAGGAAAGAAGCUGCAGGCUUUACGCUGGCAGAACUGAAGCUGGGGGUCUCCUCAGGGAUGCUGGGGCCCAAACAAUGCGACCACAAGCCCCAGAGACCUAACCUCAGGGUUUGGUGGCUCCCUUACGAUUUGGUCUUGCUUUGAUAUUUCUUUUCUCAUUGUCUCCUAGUCCCUGUUUUUUAUAGUGUCACUAUAUAUUAGAAGUAUGCAUCUUUUUAUUUCCUUUGUUUUGAGGGGCUCACAAGUCUAGAAGUUUUGAGUAUCAGAAGAGACUUUGGAUUUGAACUUUAGAACAGUGUUAGAACUAUGAAAAUUUGUGGCAAAGUGGUUCUCCUUUUAAGGAUAAACUAAAUUCAUUUUGUGAUGUCAGCUAUUCAUGAGUCUUUGAGGACCAGAGUGAAUGUUGCAUUUCGGGGGUUCUCCAGCUUCCUGAUGCUGUAACCCUUUGAUACACCCCUUGUGUUGUAGUGACCCCCAACCAUAACUUCAUAACUGUAAUUUUGCUGUUGUUUUGAAUUGUAAUAUAACUAUCUCAUAAGCAGGAUAGCUGAUGUUCGAUUCCCGUGAAAGGGUCUUUCAAUCCCACAGGUUGGAAACUGCUGUUUUGUUUAAAAGUGAUAUUUCCAGAUGUCACAAUAACAAGUAGCUCUGUCAUACUUGACAAUCUUUUUUUGGACAUGACUGGAGUGAAAGUUGCUGGCUGACCUCUAAGAAUGUCAGCAUUUCCAGAGCGGCCUAAUGUACAAGGAGAAACUCACCCUGCUUAACUGUAGUAUUCCAUGGGAAUAAAAAAGAGAAGGAAGCAGCAGCCAGCUGAGGACCACCACUAGUCUCAGUCUCUCUGCUCCCUAACAGAGAUGCAGUGUUGCCAGCUGCCUUAUGGUAACACUCACCCUGAUGGGCUGUACCCCUCCCUCAGGAGCCGAGACAAACCCUCCCUUCCUGAAGUUCCCUUUGUCAACUACUUUACCAUAGCAACAAGAAUAGUAAUUAACGAGUCUAAGCUGCUUAAUCAGUUUUGAGUUACUUGUAAGAAUUUGUUUUCUGUGGUGGCCAUUAUGACAUUGGCAUCACAUAAAAUACUACUGUUAAGUCAUUUUAUUUUGGUACUCUUAACGCUUUAUUUAACAACUUCUUUUGCAAGUAACAUUUGGCAUUAAGUAAGAGGUAAACUACCCUAUCACUUUCUCCUAUGAGGCGGGGAAGUCCAUGCCAUUUUAAUGUUGGAAACAUGCAUAAGACAUUUAUCUAGAAUCUGAUCACCCAAAACUUAUUACUGGAUUCUGCAAGGCCAUCUAAUGAUUUUACUAUUCUUUUCCUUCGAUGUUCUUCAGUACAUUAAGAAAUAAAAUAUUUUCCAAGUGAUGAUUUAAAAUAUCACCUUAAUUUCUGAUAAAGUCAAUGAUCUCAUGCAGCCUACGAGGCAGUUGUGUCUCCUGAUACUGACUAAGCUGUCUGAGGAGGCUGCGUGGAGAAAUAGUCCUGUUGACUUCAUCAGGCUGAGGUGUGGGUGUGGAGACAACAGAGGACGUGUGCUUGGUGUGAGGAUGUGUCUGAGCUUUGUAUGUCUGGUAUGGGUUUUCUUCACUAAAUGAUGAGAAAUUCUUAAUAAUCUUAGUGUCAGAUAUAUUUGCAUCUCAAAAUAUAGGUUUAUAUUACAAUAGAGUUGUAAAACAUGAUUUUUUUCAAUUUUUUAUUAGAUAUUUUCUUCAUUUACAUUUCAAAUGCUAUCCCGAAAGUCCCCUAUACCCUCCCCCGGCCCUGCUCCCCUACCCACCCACUCCCACUUCUUGGCCCUGGCAUUCCCCUGUACUGGGGCAUAUAAAGUUUGCAAGACCAAGGGGCCUCUCUUUCCAAUGAUGGCCGACUAGGCCAUCUUCUGCUACAUAUGCAGCUAGAGACAUGAGCUCUGGGGGUACUGGUUAAUUCAUAUUGUUGUUCCACCUAUAGGGUUGCAGAUCCCUUCAGCUCCUUGGGCACUUUCCGAGCUAGAGAAAGUAAAACAUGAUUUUUAAAGUAUAGAUUAAUCAUGGUAAAGCAUAUCAUAAAAUAAUGACCUGACUGACAGAUCGCUGCUCUCUGACCUUGUGUAGGACUCCACUUCAGUAGGAGUAAAGACUGAAAUAAUGAUGAUGCAAAGCAACCAUUUCCUUCCUUUCUCUGCUCAGUUUAUUUCUUUAGAGACUGUGUAUCAGUUUGUAGACAAGGCUGGCUUUGAAUUCAUGAUCCUCCUGCCUCAUUCCAACAUUUAUUUUUUAAAAGUUAAUGUUUGAACACUUUGCAAGUAUUGCAGUAUCUCAUUAACAAACUUAUAUUCAGUGAUUGCCAUAAUCUAUAUUCCAGGAUAUAUUAAAGAAGGAAAACUAGCCUUUUAGUAGAAUAUCCUAUCAGCAGUGAACUAGUACAUGUCUCUCAGCUCCUCCAGCACCAUGCCUGCCUGGAUGCUGCCAUGCUCCUGCAUUGAUGAUAAUGGACUGAAUCUCUGAACCUGUAAGCCAGCCCCAAUUAAAUGUUGUCCUUAGAAGAGUUGGUACUGGUUUUAAGGACUUUGGAUUUGGAAAGCAGUGGAAUCCUUUAAGUGGGGCUUAAUGGGCUAUCCUAGUAGGAAUAUGGAAGACUUUGUUGCUGAGAGUUCUACGUCCUGUUCUGAAGGCAAGCAGAAGACUGGCUUCAAGGUAGCUAGGAUAAGAGUCUUAAAGCCUAUGUCCACAAUGACACAUUUCCUCCAACAAGGCCACACCUACUCCAACAAGGCCACACCUGAUAAUGUCACUCUCUAGGCCAAGCAUAUUCAAACCAUCACACCUACUUUCCCCGUUUUAGUAAUCUAAAGGUAAAAAUCUUUGUAUAUUUGUUAACUAUAUCAUUUUGGUCUGCAAUCCAAAAGACAAAUAUCUAAAAGGAAGAAAUAACC